rnacentral:rRNA from 1 species
UGGGGAAUAUUGGACAAUGGGCGAAAGCCUGAUCCAGCCAUGCCGCGUGUGUGAAGAAGGUCUUCGGAUUGUAAAGCACUUUAAGUUGGGAGGAAGGGCAGUAAGCGAAUACCUUGCUGUUUUGACGUUACCGACAGAAUAAGCACCGGUUAACUCUGUGCCAGCAGCCGCGGUAAUACAGAGGGUGCAAGCGUUAAUCGGAAUUACUGGGCGUAAAGCGCGCGUAGGUGGUUCGUUAAGUUGAAUGUGAAAGCCCCGGGCUCAACCUGGGAACUGCAUCCAAAACUGGCGAGCUGGAGUAGGGCAGAGGGUGGUGGAAUUUCCUGUGUAGCGGUGAAAUGCGUAGAUAUAGGAAGGAACACCAGUGGCGAAGGCGACCACCUGGGCUCAUACUGACACUGAGGUGCGAAAGCGUGGGGAGCAAACAGG